rnacentral:tRNA from 1 species
GAGGAAGGACAGAAAUAGUAAGCACUGCUAAUUCUUACGUUCCGUAGUUAAAAUCCACGGCUUCCUCA